CUGUGUGCCUUUCCUACGCCCGUGGAAGCAAUAACUUUCUAGAAACCUGAAGCUUGAACCAGAUGAAGAAAGCUAAAGAUCCACACCAAAGUCCCACAUCAUCACCAGCAGCACCAGCACUAGCCUCUGUGCCAUUGUAUCACCCUUCAUGUCAAAACAGACUGAAGAUUGGACAAAGGGAGCACCCCUCCACCUGCAGACUUCGAGGCACCUGACUGACCACAGUAAUGAGCACAGCCCCAGUCAGAAAAUUAAAAAAAAAUAAAAAAAAAACCUCCCGUAUCUUUGUAAUCAUGCUUCAGCAUGUUUUUUUUUUCUCAGUGAAACCCAUCCUCCAGAAUGGUUUAACAACCUCAACACAACACAAUAUUUUUUGCUAAGGAAAGCCAUAAUA